rnacentral:lncRNA from 1 species
CCUACACCAGAGCUCACAGCAAUGCCAGAUCUUUAACCCACUGAGCAAGGCCAGGGAUUGAACCUGCAACCUCAUGGUUCCUAGUCGGAUCCGUUAACCACUGAGCCAUGACGAGAACUUCCAAAAUGUUUUAAAUUAUAUUGAAACACAAAAGACCCUGAAUAGCCAAAGCAAUAUUAAAAAAGAAAGGCAAAACUGGAGUAAUCAGUCUCCUUGGUCUCAAACUAUGCUGCAUAUUUACCAUAAUCAAAAAAGUAUGUUACUGGCACAAAAAGAACUAUAGAUCAAUGGAACAGAACAGAAGGCCCAGAAAUAAACCCAAGCACCUAUGGUCAAAUAAUCUAUGAUAAAGGAGGAAGAGAGACAGUGGAGGAGAGACAGUCUCUUUAAUAAGUGGUACUGAGAAAACAAGUCAGCUCCACGUAAAAGAAUGAAAUUAGAAUAUUCUCUAACACCACACACAAAAAUAAACUCAUAAUGGAUUAAAGUCCUAAUGUAAGGCCAGCUACUAUAAGAUGAAAACACAGACAGAAGACUCUUUGACAUAAUUCGCAGCAGCAUCUUGUUUGACCCAUCUCCUGGAAUAAUAACAAUAAAAUAAACUUACGGGACCUGUUGUUUAGAAUUUUAAAGCAAUGUUUGCUUAGUUCAUGGAUGUGCAACUUGAACAAGUCUCAGAGUAGAGAGCUUAUUUUUAUUACACUCAGUGUGAGUUGUACUGUCUGCAGGAGGAUUAAAUCAUUGGAAAGCCGUUACUAUAUACCUUGUAGUUGGUACCAACACUCAGCUAAAAUGUCAGCUGUGGCUUUCAGCCAGAACACUGGCACACACCCUGGCUGUGUGUUAUGGGAUUCCUCACUAACUGUGUCUGAAUUUCAAAAGAUAGCUAGGGACAAAUUUAAUGACCUAGUUUAAAAGUCAGAGAGCAUAAAUUUUAUCAUUUCUGUUAGUGAGAGUAGUUACAAACCAUUGUCUGUAGGAAGGAAACACAGAUCCUACCUCUUAGUGGAAGGAGUAUCAAAAGCACAUUGUAAAAAUAGCUUAUAGUAAUCAGCUUUAUUUAGGAAAGUAAAAUUUGCUUCAUCAAUGUAGAGGUCUUGAGAGAAUUUUGUAGGUACAGUAUGGACGACUCGAUGCUAGUGUAAAUAUUUUAUUUUAUUAUUUAUUUAUUUAUUUUUUUGGUCUUUUUGCCAUUUUUAGGGCUGCUCCCACGGCACAUGGACGUUCCCAGGCUAGGGGUCGAAUUGGAGCUGUAGCCACCAGCCUAUGUCAGAGCCACAGCAAUGCGGGAUCCGAGCCACGUCUGCAACCUACACCACAGCUCAUGGCAACGCCGGGUCCUUAACCCACUGAGCAAGGCCAGGGAUCGAACCCGCAACCUCCUGGUUCCUAGUCGGAUUUGUUAACCACUGAGCUGUGACGGAAACUCCUGUAAAUAAUAUGUUAAAAAAAUGUGUUCUAGUAUCUAGAAAUACAAUUAUCUUUUUGUGUCAUAACACUUUGGUAAAUUCAUUAUUUUUUGCACAUUUUCAAUAAUAUUUAUUUUUAGAAAGGUAAAUUUAAGUAAACAACAGUGUAGUAAGUAGGAAUUCAAUGAGAAUUUUAGUAGCCUAGAGAUGUUUUUUUGAGGCCAAUGCCACUAUCUUAGGUAGUUGCAUUUUGGUUCUGUGCAGCUUGGGCCAUAGCCAUUUAUUUACAUUGUUAGCUGCUUAUUUUCAAAAUAAAAAUGAAAAACUAUUUGAUUUCUCUUGUCAGAGAGCCUAUAUAAAUAACCUUACAAAUAUGCAUAGCUCUAUAGUGUUACACAUAAUAGAAAAUCCUUACAAUUUUAUGUUUUAAAAUGUCAAGAAAAAUAUUUCUUGCUGCAUAAAGAUAUUACCAAGUAUAUUUAAUUAAUUAAAUAGGUUUUUUUUUGGUUGAGUAUCAUAAAAGAAAGACUUAAGUUUGUUUAUCUGAUAUCCCUUCCUUUGGGCAAGAUACCAGAUGGAUUCUCUAAGUUUUGGUGACAUUGAGUUAUAAAAAUAAUUUAUUUUGAUAAUUAUGACAUACUUUUAGAUGUUAAAAGUUCCAGUCUAAUAUGUUUUAAGGCAUCAAUCUCAUGCCCAAUGCAAAGUAACUCCCCUUUACUCCCCUAGCUUUGGGCAAGGGUUAUUAGCAGAAAGGUAUGAGUGUCUCAUUGCAAAACGGUUAUUUACUAAAACCGUCCAUCUUAUAGAUGUCUAAACUUGUAUCAUUCUGUGGGUCAUAUGUGAUUUCUCCUAAGGCAUCAUUCUUGUGGGCAACUCUGUACUACAUAAGCAUUGUAUAUGUAUUUUAGUGACAGGCAGACUUGCAGUUCCUGCUUCCGGCUUUAUUCAUUUGGAUCUCUUACCACGGAUAUGGCCUUAAUCUAGUACAACACAAUUUUGAGCUGAUUUCCCUCUACAAAAUCCAGUAUUAUUAUCUUCUACGUUAUUCACUUGCCUUGUAGGAAAUUAAUGUAUCCUGUCAUGCAAAUGGUAAAAAUGUAGACUACCAUAGUGAAGCCUCAUUUUUCCAUUUUACCUGCUUUUAUACAUGUCCAGGUAAGUAAGAACCUAUGCCCUAGGAAACAUAUGCAAAGUGUUAUUACUUGUAGGGACCUUAUCCUUUGUGAGUGGUUUUCUUGGAGUUGGCCUACUUUUGCCUGGUAAGGGAGUAAUCCUCCUCAUGUUGGAAAAGGCACAUACCGUCAUAUUCUUUUAUUGGGAUAAUAUCUUUCUAUGAAUUUCCUCCUUUACACUUUGUCAAUUUUAAAUCAACUUUCUUUUUCUUUGUGAGCUGAAGGUGGGUGGUGGAUGAUGGUUUCAGAAGUGUUUUGGUCACCUUUUAAAAAUCCUGGUGGGAGGAUCUGGCAUCUUUUUGUCAUUCUCUUUAGAAUGUGCAGAUAACUAACACCUUCUGACCUUAGCUUUUGUUCUUUGCAGAAAUAUUGUAAUGGCAUGAAAUUUGCUUAGUUUAUAGGAUAAAGUGUGCUAUCAAGAGACUGAAAACCAUUCCUCUCUACCUUCUAUUUGAUUUUUCUAUUCAUAGAAAGUUAUAUCCCCUUUUAUAUUAACCUUCUACCUUAGUAAUGAAUUGCUGGUUAUUCUUUACUUUUACUAUACUGUGGCAGUACAUAUCUUCAAUAUUACUUAAGUUAAAUUUUAAAUGUUAAAAGUUUAGCACCAUACCUCUGAAAGGUCCAUUUUUGUGGGUGAGCCUCAACAGAGCGGUUGGAAACAACUGGAUAUGCUGUACUGACUGGGCCUUAGGAACCACUGGAAAGAAUAAUUGAGAGGACAUAAUUAGAGACCUAGCUGGGCUACAUUCUACUUUCAUGGCUUCUAGCCUAUCAGGGAAGCACUCAGUUUUCUUUUUGUGUAAAAUUACCUUUUGUGUUACUCUUAGCUUACAAUAGCACGAUUUUAAGUUUAUCAAGAAGUGUCUUACUUUUGUAAGAAAGUAAAUUUUCUCAGUGCAUUUGAAAAAAUAAUCUUAGCUCUCAGUAGUAUAAGCUUCAUCACUAGACUAGGUUCAGACAUUAAUUUUUAAAAUACAGCUUCUAUGGAUCUCUUCAUCUGUAGGAACAGCACAGUUCCUGGGAACAUGGUGGGUAAACAAUAUGUGCUUAUUGAAUGAAAUAAUGAAUAAUACAUUUUACUUGCAGUGGAAUUCUAGGAUUUUCUAAGCUUUUAUUAUAAGGUAUUAUAUUAGUAAUUUCCUCUAAAUAAGUGAAUAAGUGUGUAAGUGCAUCAUUGAAUUCUUAUUGGAAAUGAUCAAUAUUAUAUAAACAGUACCAGGUUCAUUCCCUGCCAGAUGUGCUCAUACGUGAUAUUUAGAACCAUGUAUUUGGUUUUCAUACUGCUAGGGAAGUAUUCAUGAGUUAUAUGUGUGUUAGUGAUCAUGCAGAUGAAUUACUGUUAAUUUUAAUUCAGUCAUCUUAAAAGUAUUUUUCUCUUAGUAUAUUCUUUUUAUUUAAUAUGAUGAUUUUAAGAAUCUUUUAUCAAAUGAAAGUGGUUUGUGACAUUUGUUUUUGGUUCUCCUUUCAGUGCUUCUAAACCACUGCCAUAUACUAUCACUUUGCUAGAUUGUGUAGCCUCUUAUUAUUGCUUCCUGACACCUGAAGGAUUAUUUCUAGAAAUUAGGCUCCAAUGGAGAAAUAAAUACAUGGUAUUUCUAGAAAGAAGUCCUCUGUGACCUACACAAUUCAGUACUAUCUUAGGAUUUAUAACAACUUUGUGGAGGAGAAUCAAUAACUUUAACUUGAUUCUAAUAAUAAAUACUUUGACUUGAUGCAGAAAAUUCCACUUAUUGUAUGUUCUAAAAGGAUAACAUUAGACAAACUAUUUACUCUGAGGUAUAUAAAUGAGUCAUUCUAAGCAUUAAUGUCAGAAACAAAUUCAUUGAUCCUGAAAGUUGGCCUAAGGCAUCUCCUAAAAACUAUCAUAAAUCCCAUUUGUGUUUAUUUUUAUAGUUCAUCUCGGCAGAAUUUUUCUAAAAGACAGAAUAAAAUGUGAGUGACGUUAAGUGCAGUUGUCAAUUGCUAAGCCUUUAACCUUGAGAGUCGAGACAUCUUUGUACUUGUGUGAGUCCACAGAGUUUAUAACUCUUUCCUCUUUCUCCAAGGAGAUUAGCCUUAUCCCAGGAAAGAGAACCUCACUAAGUGAAUGUCUAUGGUUGGUAGUCUGAGCUUAAGCCCUUUAUAUGUGUCAGCUCUGAAGAUUUCAUUCUUUCCAAACUUCUAGCAAAAUCACCUCUUCAAGGGUUCCACUGAAGACUGUCAAACAUUGCCAUUAUUAACAAUUCUUUUUGUAUGUAUGCUCUUUCUGUAGCAUUUUGCUGUAUUAGAAACUAUCUUUCAUCUCAUAUUCUAAGUGGACUAUAAUAGAUAUUAGUUUCAAACACGAUAAAUUUUUUUUCCUCAAACAUUAUUAUCAUAGCAUAUCUAAAAGGACCUCCCAUACCAGAUAUAGAUGGUUUACUGAUUCAAUGACUGGUGUCUGGGGGAAGACUUAUAGUUUUGGCUGUCACCAAAGUGAUUAAAGAAAGAAUUAAGUGAAAUGUAUGCUAUGCAUGAUUUGAAAAUGUGGUACUAUAAAGGUAUAUUUGUCCUACUAGGUACAUAAAAUGUUAAAAAGAAAAAAUAAUAAAACAUUGUAUUGUGCUUGUAUAAGGCAUUGUAUUGUGCUUGUAUAAGGCCAGCUUGAAAAUAGAAUGAAAGUGUCCUGAAGUGGACGCUGGUGUGUAUGGGAAGUUAAUUUGUGAUAGAGCUAUGUAUAGGCAAUUAAUACGAAAUAAAGGAAGAGUUGCAUAUUAAUUGAGAAUGGAAGGGAUAGAGUUUUUAAACUAAAUGACAUUGGGAAAAUUGGAAAAAUAUUUGAGAUCAUAUGUCUCUCCCACAAAAUGGUAUAUUCCACAUAAAUUCCAACUGUAUUCAGGCAUAAAUGUAAAGCAACAAAUAACAGUAUAGAUGAAUAUUUAUUUAGUCUGUGAAUAAUAAAUAUUUUAAAAAUAUGUAAUAAUUUGUCUCCAUCAUGAGAGGGAAACAUGUGGUUGUAAUUACAUAAAAUUGUAAAGCAAUGUAUUUCAAAAGUUUAUUUUUUUCUUUUUAAAAAACUUCCAUAUGCUGCGGGUGCAGCCCUG